UUUCUUGAUGAUUGUUCUCACAACAUAUGUCCCGGUGACUCGUGAGCCAUGGAUAAUUACAUGCAUCACCAUCUGACC
rnacentral:snoRNA from 1 species